ACUACGGGUGGCAGCAGUGGGGAAUAUUGCACAAUGGGGGAAACCCUGAUGCAGCGACGCCGCGUGAGUGAAGAAGUAUUUCGGUAUGUAAAGCUCUAUCAGCAGGGAAGAAGAAAGACGGUACCUGACUAAGAAGCCCCGGCUAACUACGUGCCAGCAGCCGCGGUAAUACGUGGGGGGCAAGCGUUAUCCGGAUUUACUGGGUGUAAAGGGAGCGUAGACGGCUGUGCAAGGCUGAAGUGAAAGCCCAGGGCUCAACCCUGGGACUGCUUUGGAAACUGGGGAGCGAAGGUGCUGGAGAGGUAAGUGGAAUUCCUAGUGUAGCGGGGAAAUGCGUAGAUAGUAGGAGGAACACCAGUGGCGAAGGCGGCUUACUGGACAGUAACUGACGUUGAGGCUCGAAAGCGUGGGGAGCAAACAGGAUUAGAUACCCGAGUAGUC
rnacentral:rRNA from 1 species